UCGUAGGGCCACAUGUCAAGAUAUUUGUCCGGAAAAUCGCCAUUAUUAUGGUGACAUUUAAAGGAGUUUACCUGUCUGCUUUUGGUGUAGCGCCAAAUCUUCUGGGGACAUUCAAUGGACACACAGACUUUUUGGAGGGGCUUGGGAUGGGGACCCCUGCGGACCAUCCUAGGGGAAAAUCAAAGACCCACCGUUCAGAACCACACCCACAGCCCUAGAGAGGAGGACGGAUUUCUGUCUGCCGGAGACGGCUGGGCGCCCCCUCGGAAGUGCGGCAGCCACAGACCCACGACCCGCCGGCCCUCCCCCGCCUCCGUCCGCUCCCGGGCUUCCGAGAGUCCCCGGAGCGCGGCCGCCCUCCCCGCCCCGGGCCCCCCGCGCGCGCCACCCCUGCCCACAGCGGCGAGGACAGGGGCGCCGGCUCCGGGAGCAGGGGCCGGGGUGGGGGUGGGGGAGCACUCCCCGGGAGAGGACAAGGCUCGGCGCCAGCCUCGCCUCGCCCCGAGAGGCCGGGAGCGCGAGGCCGCCGGGGCCCGCAGCCCGCCCGGGACUAAGACGAGAAGCAGCCGUUCCGGAUUCGCCGGUUGCAGCCACUGGACAGACCGAGCGGCUGCUCGCUCCCUUUGGGGAGCGCGAAAGUGAAGCCUAAUUGACAACUGGUUUGCAGCACAAACAGCUGAGGGGUCUUGCCUGGGUCCUCUCUCGGUGCGUCCACCGAAGGAAACGUCGCCUGGAGGGGGCGCCUGCUGCGCGGCUGGGACUGUCCUGGGAGCGGCCCAAGGAAAGAGAAAGCAAGCAGGCCACCAGGUGGCGCGCAGGUUUGGUUCCUACAAAACAAGUUGUAGUUCAAAAGGCUCCAUGAGACUCAGCCCGUGACUGUUUCAACGCUUGGCCGUCUCCUUCCUGGAAGGUGGCACGGACAUGCAGGGCUGGUAACCCUAGGCCCACUGAUGUGAACUCGAAGACGUCCGGGCUAAUGCCCGCUGCUGGCUUAGACAGUCUUGGAUCUUGUUUUCUGUUGUGGUUUGCUGCUGAGGAGGAGGAAGUUCCUCCUCCCCUCUCUCCCAGCUUAUCCACCUGCAAGGGCUCUUCCGGUGCUGCUGAUCGACAGCACUACCUGGAAAAGUGUAAUUACAGCCUAAUGAAUAGGUAGGUAUGAAUGGGAGGGGGCGUCCACCCACAAAUGAGUGAAAUCAGUUCUACAUAAUCAAAAGAACUUUGUCAGGUGUUCUAAAAUUUAACGUUCUGAAUAAAUACUGGAAUUCCUUUUAUUUUCAAAUACAUAUCUGAAUACCUAUCCUUUUAUAU